rfam:Eutrema salsugineum unplaced genomic scaffold scaffold_16, whole genome shotgun sequence.
AAACCAUGGUAAGGACACUGAUUGGUGUAACUUCGAAACCAUUCCCAAGCUUUUCCAAAGCUUUUGUUAUUAUGCGGUGUAAAGCUGGAGAUUUGGUUCCUUAGCUU